CCGGCGGCGGCGGCUGUGCAGGGUUUUAGGCAGGGCUAGGGUUUCUUCCCCUCCGGGCGCAGAUUGCUUCCUUUUGGGGUCAAUUUCCAUGGUUCCUCCGGCAAGAGGAAAAGAUUACUGAAGGUGUUCAUCAGACAAGGUGGCGUCAGUCAAUUCAGUGCGAAUUAAGCUUGCUCCUCUGCUCCCUCUCAGUUAAGUUCAGAUGGUUAGGUCAGGUCAGGUCAGGUCAGGUGAAUUGGGUCUCUAAAUUUCUGCGGGUAGCAACAGCAAUUGUUGCUCCUUUUUUCAUGUAAAAAUCAAUCAUCAUGGGUCGAGGUCGUGUGGGUUCCUAUUACUUUCUAGCCAGUCAGUCAAAUGUAGUUCCCUUUUCUCUCUUGGUUUGCUUUGUGCUGCUGAUUCCAAGAAAGAAGAAGAAGAAAAGGCUUGCACAAAUCUCAAAUGUCCACAAUUCUGCAUCAAGAUGGAGGAUGAGCAAGCAUGGCCUUCAGUAAGUUGCACCUCUGCUCUGCUUCUUAGGUCUUCUUUUUUCAGUUUUUUUUCUUCAUUUCUUUUGUGCUCUGGAUUGAAUUAGUGCUUGGUGAGAAUAAUAAUAAGUGACUGUUGUUAGCUCAGAUAGCCAGCUCCUGUAUGUAUCUAUCUUUUGAUUGUUUGAUGGGUGUGUCAAUUGUGUGUCACCAGGAAUGGAAUUGAUCAGUGGACAAAAAUAAUGAGACAGCCGAUAGAAGAGUGCAUCAUCUGUCAUGUCCAUCCAGCAGCACCCUCUCAUCCGCUACGUCUCUGUCUUUGCAUCCUAGUAUCAUGCCACUGAUUUUCACUAUUAUCAUACCAUUGUUUGCGAAAUUCAGGUGGCGAUGCACCCCAGCAGCUUGUUGUUUAGAAGUAAUUGCAUCGCAUUGCCACUGGUUUUGCGGCUGCUGUUGCCGGCACUGUGAUGUGUUGUGCUGCAUGUGCGGUCAGCUGUGGAGGUAGAAUAAUAAUCGUAGGGAGUGGGGGCUCUAGUGUACUUGUGGGUGGCAAACCAACUUUCUCG
rnacentral:lncRNA from 1 species